rnacentral:rRNA from 1 species
UGCCAGCAGCCGCGGUAAUACGGAGUGUGCAAGCGUUACUCGGAAUCACUGGGCAUAAAGAGCACGUAGGCGGGUGGCAUAGUCAGUUGUGAAAUCCCUCGGCUCAACCGGGGAACUGCAACUGAAACUGGUCAUCUUGAGGGCGAGAGGGGUGAGCGGAACUUCUGGUGGAGCGGUGAAAUGCGUAGAUAUCAGAAGGAACGCCGGUGGUGAAAACGGCUCACUGGCUCGUUUCUGACGCUGAGGUGCGAAAGCUAGGGUAGCGAACGGGAUUAGAUA